AUGGGGGUGGGUAGGUGUAGGGGGGCAGUGUGGUGGGGGUGGGGAGGUGUAGGGGGGCAGUGUGGUGGGGGUGGGCAGGUGUAGGCAGAGGGUUUCUGCAAGUAGAUCAGGUGGAGAGACUACAGCAGCAUCCCACAGCAGAGACAGUCUAGACUAGGAGGGUAAGACACACACUCUCUCUCUCUCUCACACACCAACUCUCUCUCUAUCUUUCUCUGACAUACACAUUCUCUCUCUCUCUCUCUCUCUCUCUCUCUCUCUAACAUUACACACAUUCUCAGGCACAUACUCUCUCUCUCCAGAACAGCCACAAAAGUGCUUUUCCUGUCCAGAAGAAGGAAGUGGUUGUGUGUGUGUGUGUGUGUGUGUGUGUGGUGGUGUCAGUGUGUGUGUGUGUGUGAGUGUGCUGAUCAGAGCAGCUCUGUAACUGAGAUGAAGACAGCUCUGACAAUUCUUUCCCUCUGUCUCGUUCAGAGAGGAGUCCUGAUGGCAGACAUACAUGCGUCUGGAACUGAAGGUGGAAGAGUGGAAUUGAAAUGCUCAUAUCCAUAUAAACACAAAUCAACACCAAAGUACUUCUGUCUGGAUCCUUGUAGGUGGGCUGCUCUUAUUACGUUAAAAAAGUCUGAUUAUAUUUCCGAGGGAAGAUAUUCCAUCUAUGAUAGCAAGAAUGCACAGACUUUCUCUGUGACCAUCAAGGACCUCCAGUUGCAGGAUGCUGGUGUUUAUUACUGUGGACUUAAUCAGUAUGGUUUUGACACUUUAACCAAAGUUGUGCUGACAGUCAGUAAAGGUACGUAAUCCAGCCUCUCACUGCUGUGGGCGUAUGCUGCUGUGUUUCCUGUUUCCACCCGUGUGGUCAGCAUGUGCCCACCACUGACAGACCACUGACACUUGUUGCCAUGGUUACAGCUGUGUAGUAUGACUUGACAUCAUAAAUGGCACAUAGUGUGUGUGUGUGUGUGUGCUGUGUCCAUCAUAGUGUGUGUGUGUGUAUGUGUGUGUGUGUGUGUGUGUGUGCUGUGUCUUCCUUGUGGUUCACUGCAUUCUGUGUUUGUUCAGAGGUCAAUAAAGGUCAUUCCCGGGGUGGUGCA
rnacentral:lncRNA from 1 species